rnacentral:rRNA from 1 species
UGUCUCAGUUCGGAUUGGAGGCUGAAACCCGCCUCCAUGAAGUUGGAUUCGCUAGUAAUCGCGCAUCAGCCAUGGCGCGGUGAAUACGUUCCCGGGCCUUGUACACACCGCCCGUCAAGCCAUGGGAGCCGGGGGUGCCUGAAGUUCGUGACCGCAAGGAGCGACCUAGGGCAAAACUGGUGACUGGGGCUAAGUCGUAACAAGGUACC